rfam:Camelus ferus unplaced genomic scaffold scaffold319, whole genome shotgun sequence.
GAGGGUGGAGCUUAGUGAUAGAGUGUGAGCUUAGCAUGUGUGAGGUCCUGGGUUCAAUCCCCAGUACCUCCA